UACGAGGGGGGCUAAUGUUGUUCGGAAUCACUGGGCGUAAAGCGCGCGUAGGCGGCCAAUCAAGUCAGGGGUGAAAUGCCACGGCUCAACCGUGGAACUGCCUUUGAAACUGAUUGGCUGGAAGAUGAGAGGGGAUAGCGGAAUUUCUGGUGUAGAGGUGAAAUUCGUAGAUACCAGAAGGAACACCGGUGGCGAAGGCGGCUAUCUGGCUCAUUCUUGACGCUCUGGCGCGAAAGCGUGGGGAUCAAACAGG
rnacentral:rRNA from 1 species